AGCGAACGCUGGCGGCAGGCCUAACACAUGCAAGUCGAACGAACCUUUCGGGGUUAGUGGCGGACGGGUGAGUAACACGUGGGAACGUGCCUUUAGGUUCGGAAUAACUCAGGGAAACUUGUGCUAAUACCGAAUGUGCCCUUCGGGGGAAAGAUUUAUCGCCUUUAGAGCGGCCCGCGUCUGAUUAGCUAGUUGGUUGAGGUAAUGGCUCACCAAGGCGACGAUCAGUAGCUGGUCUGAGAGGAUGGUCAGCAACAUUGGGGCUGGGACACGGCCCAAACCCCUCGGGAGGGGAGAAGGGGGGAAGCUGGCGCAAUGGGCGAAAGACGAAGGCCUCCGGGCCGUAAAAAUGUUGAAUGUCUGAAGAAUAAAAAUUUCUUUCACCGGGGACGAUAUGAAGGUAACCCGGAAGAAAGCCCCGGGUAAACUCGUG
rnacentral:rRNA from 1 species